GGAUUAGAUACCCUGGUAGUCCAUGCCGUAAACGAUGUGUGUUAGACGUUGGGGGACAUAGUCCUUCGGUGUCGCAGCUAACGCAUUAAGCACUCCGCCUGGGGAGUACGGUCGCAAGAUUAAAACUCAAAGGAAUUGACGGGGACCCGCACAAGCGGUGGAACAUGUGGUUUAAUUCGAAGCAACGCGCAGAACCUUACCAGUCCUUGACAUGGGGAGUUUGGUUUCCGGAGACGGAUUCCUCCAGUUCGGCUGGCUCCCACACAGGUGCUGCAUGGCUGUCGUCAGCUCGUGUUG
rnacentral:rRNA from 1 species